UCUUUGUUAGUAUAUCGGUUAGUACACGCGCCUGUCAUGAAAGGCUCAAACGGCGGAUCGCGCGAAAGCUGGGUUCGACUCCCAGACAGAGAG
rnacentral:tRNA from 1 species